rnacentral:rRNA from 1 species
UGGGGAAUUUUGGACAAUGGGCGAAAGCCUGAUCCAGCAAUGCCGCGUGUGUGAAGAAGGCCUUCGGGUUGUAAAGCACUUUUGUCCGGAAAGAAAUCCUUGGCUCUAAUACAGUCGGGGGAUGACGGUACCGGAAGAAUAAGCACCGGCUAACUACGUGCCAGCAGCCGCGGUAAUACGUAGGGUGCAAGCGUUAAUCGGAAUUACUGGGCGUAAAGCGUGCGCAGGCGGUUUGCUAAGACCGAUGUGAAAUCCCCGGGCUCAACCUGGGAACUGCAUUGGUGACUGGCAGGCUAGAGUAUGGCAGAGGGGGUAGAAUUCCACGUGUAGCAGUGAAAUGCGUAGAGAUGUGGAGGAAUACCGAUGGCGAAGGCAGCCCCCUGGGCCAAUACUGACGCUCAUGCACGAAAGCGUGGGGAGCAAACAGGAUUCAGAUACCCUGGUAGUCCACGCCCUAAACGAUGUCAACUAGUUGUUGGGGAUUCAUUUCCUUAGUAACGUAGCUAACGCGUGGAAGUUGACCGCCUGGGGAGUACGGUCGCAAAGAUUAAAACUCAAAUGAAUUGACGGGGU